UACGAAGGGGGCUAGCGUUGUUCGGAAUUACUGGGCGUAAAGCGCACGUAGGCGGAUAUUUAAGUCAGGGGUGAAAUCCCAGAGCUCAACUCUGGAACUGCCUUUGAUACUGGGUAUCUUGAGUAUGGAAGAGGUAAGUGGAAUUGCGAGUGUAGAGGUGAAAUUCGUAGAUAUUCGCAGGAACACCAGUGGCGAAGGCGGCUUACUGGUCCUACUGA
rnacentral:rRNA from 1 species